GCGGUGAAUGAUGUGGAUUAAUUCGAUGCAACGCGAAAAACCCUUACCUACCCCUUGACAUGUCCAGAAGCCUGAAGAGAUUUAGGUGUGCCCGAAAGGGAGCUGGAACACAGGUGCUGCAUGGCUGUCGUCAGCUCGUGUCGUGAGAUGUUGGGUUAAGUCCCGCAACGAGCGCAACCCUUGUCGUUAAUUGCCAUCAUUUAGUUGGGCACUUUAACGAGACUGCCGGUGACAAACCGGAGGAAGGUGGGGAUGACGUCAAGUCCUCAUGGCCCUUAUGGGUAGGGCUUCACACGUCAUACAAUGGUCGGUACAGAGGGUUGCCAAGCCGCGAGGUGGAGCCAAUCCCAGAAAGCCGAUCGUAGUCCGGAUUGCAGGCUGCAACUCGCCUGCAUGAAGUCGGAAUCGCUAGUAAUCGCGGAUCAGCAUGUCGCGGUGAAUACGUUCCCGGGUCUUGUACACACCGCCCGUCACACCAUGGGAGCGGGUUCCGCCAGAAGUAGGUAGCCUAACCGCAAGGGGGGCGCUUACCACGNCGGGGUUCGUGACUGGGGUGAAGUCGUAACAAGGUANCCGUAGGGGAACCUGCGGCUGGAU
rnacentral:rRNA from 1 species